rnacentral:rRNA from 1 species
AAAGAUUAAGCCAUGCAUGUCUAAGUAUAAGCAAUUUGUACUGUGAAACUGCGAAUGGCUCAUUAAAUCAGUUAUCGUUUAUUUGAUAGUACCUUACUACAUGGAUACCUGUGGUAAUUCUAGAGCUAAUACAUGCUAAGAACCUCGACUUCGGAAGGGGUGUAUUUAUUAGAUAAAAAACCAACGCCCUUCGGGGCUCCUUGGUGAAUCAUAAUAACUAAGCGAAUCGCAUGGCCUUGCGCCGGCGAUGGUUCAUUCAAAUUUCUGCCCUAUCAACUUUCGAUGGUAAGAUAGUGGCUUACCAUGGUGGCAACGGGUAACGGGGAAU